UACGUAGGUGACCAGCGUUGUCCGGAUUUACUGGGCGUAAAGAGCGCGCAGGCGGUCGUUCAAGUCGAGUGUGAAAACCCCCGGCUCAACUGGGGAGGGUCACUUGAUACUGAUCGACUCGAAGGCAGGAGAGGGAAGCGGAAUUCCCGGUGUAGUGGUGAAAUGCGUAGAUAUCGGGAGGAACACCAGUGGCGAAGGCGGCUUCCUGGCCUGUUCUUGACGCUGAGGCGCGAAAGCUAGGGGAGCAAACGGGAU
rnacentral:rRNA from 1 species